rnacentral:rRNA from 1 species
ACUUUUCAGCUAGAGUAUGAUAGAGGAAAGCAGAAUUUCUAGUGUAGAGGUGAAAUUCGUAGAUAUUAGAAAGAAUACCAAUUGCGAAGGCAGCUUUCUGGAUCAUUACUGACACUGAGGAACGAAAGCAUGGGUAGCGAAGAGGAUUAGAUACCCUCGUAGUCCAUGCCGUAAACGAUGUGUGUUAGACGUUGGAAAUUUAUUUUCAGUGUCGCAGCGAAAGCGAUAAACACACCGCCUGGGGAGUACGACCGCAAGGUUAAAACUCAAAUGAAUUGACGGGGACCCGCACAAGUAGUGGAGCAUGUGGUUUAAUUCGAAGAUACGCGCAGAACCUUACCAACACUUGACAUGUUCGUCGCGACUCUAAGAGAUUAGAGUUUUCGGUUCGGCCGGACGAAACACAGGUGCUGCAUGGCUGUCGUCAGCUCGUGUCGUGAGAUGUUGGGUUAAGUCCCGCAACGAGCGCAACCCUCACUUUUAGUUGCCAUCAUUAAGUUGGGCACUCUGAAAGAACUGCCAGUGAUAAGCUGGAGGAAGGUGGGGAUGACGUCAAGUCCUCAUGGCCCUUACGUGUUGGGCUACACACGUGCUACAAUGGUAAUCUACAACAGGAAAGCAAGACUGCGAGGUCAAGCAAAUCCUUAAAAGAUUACCUCAGUUCGGAUUGCACUCUGCAACUUCGAGUGCAUGAAGCUGGGAAUUUACUAGUAAUCGUGGAUCAGCGUGC